rnacentral:rRNA from 1 species
AUACGUAGGGUGCAAGCGUUAAUCGGAAUUACUGGGCGUAAAGCGUGCGCAGGCGGUUUUGUAAGACAGUGGUGAAAUCCCCGGGCUCAACCUGGGAACUGCCAUUGUGACUGCAAGGCUGGAGUGCGGCAGAGGGGGAUGGGAUUGCGCGUGUAGAAGUGAAAUGCGUAGAUAUGCGGAGGAACACCGAUGGCGAAGGCAAUCCCCUGGGCCUGCACUGACGCUCAUGCACGAAAGCGUGGGGAGCAAACAGGAUUAGAUACCCUGGUAGUCCACGCCCUAAACGAUGUCAACUGGUUGUUGGGGAUUUAUUUUCUCAGUAACGAAGCUAACGCGUGAAGUUGACCGCCUGGGGAGUACGGCCGCAAGGUUAAAACUCAAAUGAAUUGACGGGG